rnacentral:rRNA from 1 species
CCGGUAAACGGCGGCCGUAACUAUAACGGUCCUAAGGUAGCGAAAUUCCUUGUCGGGUAAGUUCCGACCUGCACGAAUGGCGUAAUGAUGGCCAGGCUGUCUCCACCCGAGACUCAGUGAAAUUGAACUCGCUGUGAAGAUGCAGUGUACCCGCGGCAAGACGGAAAGACCCCGUGAACCUUUACUAUAGCUUGACACUGAACAUUGAGCCUUGAUGUGUAGGAUAGGUGGGAGGCUUUGAAGUGUGGACGCCAGUCUGCAUGGAGCCGACCUUGAAAUACCACCCUUUAAUGUUUGAUGUUCUAACGUUGGCCCCUGAUCGGGGUUGCGGACAGUGUCUGGUGGGUAGUUUGACUGGGGCGGUCUCCUCCUAAAGAGUAACGGAGGAGCACGAAGGUUGGCUAAUCCUGGUCGGACAUCAGG